GGUCAGUGAUGUGAUGGCAUGUAUUAUCUGAAUGCAAAGUGAUGUGAAUUCUAAAAUUACACUGAGACCUU
ensembl:snoRNA small nucleolar RNA, C/D box 45B